UGGCUUUUGGGCUGUCGCAGAUGGAUGAGCCUGCGUUGGAUUAGCUAGUUGGUGGGGUAAGGGCCUACCAAGGCUACGAUCCAUAGCUGAUUUGAGAGGAUGAUCAGCCACAUUGGGACUGAGACACGGCCCAAACUCCUACGGGAGGCAGCAGUGAGGAAUAUUGGACAAUGGGGGCAACCCUGAUCCAGCAAUGCCAUGUGUGUGAAGAAGGCCUUAGGGUUGUAAAGCACUUUAGUUGGGGAAGAAAGCUUUGAGGUUAAUAGCCUUGAGGAAAAGGACGUUACCCAAAGAAUAAGCACCGGCUAACUCCGUGCCAGCAGCCGCGGUAAUACGGGGGGUGCAAGCGUUAAUCGGAAUUACUGGGCGUAAAGGGUCUGUAGGUGGUUUGUUAAGUCAGAUGUGAAAGCCUAGGGCUCAACCUUGGAACUGCAUUUGAUACUGGUAAACUAGAGUACGGUAGAGGAAUGGGGAAUUUCUGGUGUAGCGGUGAAAUGCGUAGAGAUCAGAAGGAACACCAAUGGCGAAGGCAACAUUCUGGACCGAUACUGACACUGAGGGACGAAAGCGUGGGGAUCAAACAGGAUUAGAUACCCUGGUAGUCCACGCUGUAAACGAUGAGUACUAGCUGUUGGAGUCGGUGUAAAGGCUCUAGUGGCGCAGCUAACGCGAUAAGUACUCCGCCUGGGGACUACGGCCGCAAGGCUAAAACUCAAAGGAAUUGACGGGGACCCGCACAAGCGGUGGAGCAUGUAGUUUAAUUCGAUGCAACGCGAAGAACCUUACCUGGUCUUGACAUCCUGCGAUCUUUCUAGAGAUAGAUUGGUGCCUUCGGGAACGCAGUGACAGGUGCUGCACGGCUGUCGUCAGCUCGUGUUGUGAAAUGKUUGGGUUAAGUCCCGCAACGAGCGCAACCCCUAUUGAUAGUUACCAUCAUUAAGUUGGGUACUCUAUUAAGACUGCCGCUGA
rnacentral:rRNA from 1 species